AAAGAAUUGAAUACCAUAGGCAGUUAAAUGAUUGCAUUUCUCUUAUGCAAUUACAUGGACACUCUGACUUAAUAUUUAUUUUACAUUUCCUUUACUUUCUCCAUCUCUUCUGUUCUUGUUGGAUUCAUAAUGGCAUAUUAUUGGCAAGUUUUCCUCAUUUUGAAGAUUGAUGCCCUUUGAUUUGCAACCUUUUCAUUAGGAGCUUAUUUAAAGUAAGUAU
rnacentral:misc_RNA from 1 species